rnacentral:pre_miRNA from 1 species
AGUGGGAUGGUUGCAUACGAACAAAGCCGUUUGUAUUAUGCAACAUUUCACUCU